GAAUAAGCCACGGCUAACUACGUGCCAGCAGCCGCGGUAAUACGUAGGUGGCAAGCGUUGUCCGGAUUUACUGGGUGUAAAGGGCGUGUAGGCGGGAGAGCAAGUCAGAAGUGAAAUCUAUGGGCUUAACCCAUAAACUGCUUUUGAAACUGUUCUUCUUGAGUAUCGGAGAGGCAGGCGGAAUUCCUAGUGUAGCGGUGAAAUGCGUAGAUAUUAGGAGGAACACCAGUGGCGAAGGCGGCCUGCUGGACGACAACUGACGCUGAGGCGCGAAAGCGUGGGGAGCAAACAGGAUUAGAUACCC
rnacentral:rRNA from 1 species